rnacentral:rRNA from 1 species
GACGAACGCUGGCGGCGUGCUUAAUACAUGCAAGUCGAACGGAAAGGCCCUGCUUUUGUGGGGUUCUCGUGUGCCGAACGGGUGAGUACCACGUGAGUAACCUGCUCCUGACUUACGGAGAACUUCACGAAACUCCGGCUAAUACCCGAUACGAGCUCCUGCAGCACGGUGGUGGUGGGAUAGUUUCGGCUGUUCUGGAUCGCCUCGCGCGGUAUCAGCUGGUUUGCCGGGUAGCCGCUUACCAAGACUACGACGCGUACCCGACCUGAGAGGGUGACCGGCCACACGAGAACUGAGACACGGACAAGACUACUACGGGAGGCAGCAGUAGGGAAUCUUCCGCAAAAGGCGAAAGCCUUACGGAGCAGCGCCGCGUGUGUGAUGAAGGUCGUCGGAUCGUGAAACUCUGUUAUUAGGUGAGAACAGAUGUGUAAGUAACUGUGCACAUCUUGACGGUACCUAAUCAGAAAGCAACGGCUAACUACGUG